CAUGAAAAUGACGAACUACAUAAUUAGUAAACACGUUAAAUAAGUUGAUAUUAUAGUACUAGCAAACUUAUGAUCCUGUAUCAUUUGUUGACAUCCGUUUUAAGUAUACAAAACAUGCAUUUUAUUCAGUUUGCUUAAUUCCCGCCAAAAUCGUCCUUUUGGCACCGUCUUUUGACGUUGUCAGUGCCCCUCAGUAUACACCUUAUCGCUAUUUGUCCACCAUUACUGGACAUCACACAAGUUCCCGUAAAAUUUUGACGUCAUAAUAGAAAAUAUCUGACGCCACAAUGGAAAAGUGAUUGUUGUGUGACGUCAAAAGUUCGAGCGGGACAGAUUCUCGGGUCAAGCGGGAAUAGCGAUAAGGUGUAUUGUGACGUUACCAUGGACCUUUGACGUUCUACACAAUCAACAAGAUUUGUGUGUAGAAUGUCAUAAAUGUGCCUUUGGCAGCAAGAGUAGGCGAACGACAAGCUCAAAUGGUUAUCUGUUGACUGUUUACAACAGUAUGGGAUUUGCUAAAAUGCUAUACUGUGCUACUGUUUUGAUAUUCGGAUGUAUUAUGUUGUCGUCUGCUUGCAAACUUUCCGAACAUACUAUCCUGAGAGUCGAGAAAAAGCUGAAAGAAAAGAUGCUAAAAAUAAAUAUAGGAAAGAUACUUAGAAAAAAUAUAGUCAAGAAAGCGUGUUUUAAAGAAGUGUCAUACAAGAAACAUACAGGUCAAAGUUCAACCUAUAACCAUGGUUUCCCUUCACGUUAUGGUGUUGACAACGAUCGAUCUACAAUGUUUUGUACGAACAAGGAACGUGAUCCAUAUUGGUGGGUAUUCUUCGGAAAACCCUACGCAAUUCGUCGUGUCGAAAUGUGGAAUACAAGAUUAGAAGGUAGAAGAUUACGUGAAGUAGAAGUUACGGUUGGUUUCAGUUUAAAAAGAAGGAUGGUGCUAUGCAAGAGAUACAAAGGCCCGGCUAGGAAUGGACAGCACUUAACUCUGAAUUGCAACCGUGGUAUAUAUGGACAUUAUGUCAAGAUUACCUUAAAAGCCUUUGAAUACCUCCAUCUACUUGAAGUUAAGGUGUUUGCAGAAUGUUGAAUUAACUUAUUAAAGAUUGA